rnacentral:rRNA from 1 species
CAGAUAGUAGCAAUACUAUGCUGCUAAGUGGCGCACGGGUGAGUAAUAUAUAGGUAACAUGCCCUUAAGAGGGGGAUAACAGAGGGAAACCUUUGCUAAUACCCCAUAACCCUUCUUGUCAUAAGAUGAGUUGGCAAAGUUUUUUCGCUUAAGGAUUGGCCUGUAUUGUAUCAGCUCGUUGGUGAGGUAACGGCUCACCAAGGCUAUGACGCAUAACUGGUCUGAGAGGAUGAUCAGUCACACUGGAACUGAGACACGGUCCAGACUCCUACGGGAGGCAGCAGUGGGGAAUAUUGCACAAUGGGGGAAACCCUGAUGCAGCAACGCCGCGUGGAGGAUGACACUUUUCGGAGCGUAAACUCCUUUUCUGUUAGAAGAUAAUGACGGUAUAACAGGAAUAAGCACCGGCUAACUCCGUGCCAGCAGCCGCGGUAAUACGGAGGGUGCAAGCGUUACUCGGAAUCACUGGGCGUAAAGAGCGUGUAGGCUGUUUAGCAAGUCAGAAGUGAAAUCCUAUAGCUCAACUAUAGAACUGCUUUUGAAACUGCUUAACUAGAGUGUGGGAGAGGCAGAUGGAAUUUCUGGUGUAGGGGUAAAAUCCGUAGAUAUCAGAAGGAAUACCGAUUGCGAAGGCGAUCUGCUGGAACAUUACUGACGCUGAGACGCGAAAGCGU